rnacentral:rRNA from 1 species
GACGAACGCUGGCGGCGUGCCUAAUACAUGCAAGUCGAGCGCAGGAAGCAGACUGAAGCCUUCGGGUGGACGACUGUGGAAUGAGCGGCGGAUGGGUGAGUAACACGUGGGUAACCUGCCUGUAAGCUUAGGAUAACUCCGGGAAACCGGUGCUAAUACUAGAUGAAACGUUUCACCGCCUGGUGAAACGAUAAAAGACGGCUUUGCUGUCACUUACAGAUGGACCCGUGGCGCAUUAGCUAGUUGGUGGGAUAAAAGCUCACCAAGGCAACGAUGCGUAGCCGACCUGAGAGGGUGAUCGGCCACACUGGGACUGAGACACGGCCCAGACUCCUACGGGAGGCAGCAGUAGGGAAUCUUCCGCAAUGGACGAAAGUCUGACGGAGCGACGCCGCGUGAGUGAUGAAGGACUUCGGUCGUAAAACUCUGUUGUUAGGGAAGACAAGUGUGAAUUAACUACUCACACCUUGACGGUACCUAACCAGAAA